UACGUAGGUGGCAAGCGUUGUCCGGAUUUACUGGGCGUAAAGGGCGUGCAGGCGGUUUGUUAAGUGCAGGGUGAAAGCUCCCGGCUCAACUGGGAGAGGUCCUUGCAUACUGGCAAACUCGAGGGAGGCAGAGGAAAGUGGAAUUCCCGGGUGUAGUGGUGAUAUGCGUAGAUAUCGGGGAGGAACACCGGUGGCGAAGGCGGGUCUCUGGGCAGUAACUGACGCUGAGGAGCGAAAGCGUGGGGAGCGAACAGG
rnacentral:rRNA from 1 species